rnacentral:rRNA from 1 species
UACGGGGGGAGCAAGCGUUGUUCGGAUUUACUGGGCGUAAAGGGCGGGUAGGCGGCCACUGCAAGUCGGUUGUGAAAUCUCCGGGCUUAACCCGGAAAGGUCAAUCGAUACUGCAGGGCUAGAGUGCAGAAGGGGCAACUGGAAUUCUCGGUGUACGCGGUGAAAUGCGUAGAUAUCGAGAGGAACACCUGCGGCGAAGGCGGGUUGCUGGGCUGACACUGACGCUGAACUGCGAAAGCUAGGGGAGCGAACGGG